CCUACGGGUGGCAGCAGUCGAGAAUCAUUCACAAUGGGGGAAACCCUGAUGGUGCGACGCCGCGUGGGGGAAUGAAGGUCUUCGGAUUGUAAACCCCUGUCAUGUGGGAGCAAAUUAAAAAGAUAGUACCACAAGAGGAAGAGACGGCUAACUCUGUGCCAGCAGCCGCGGUAAUACAGAGGUCUCAAGCGUUGUUCGGAAUCACUGGGCGUAAGGCGUGCGUAGGCUGUUUCGUAAGUCGUGUGUGAAAGGCGCGGGCUCAACCCGCGGACGGCACAUGAUACUGCGAGACUAGAGUAAUGGAGGGGGAACCGGAAUUCUCGGUGUAGCAGUGAAAUGCGUAGAUAUGGAGAGGAACACUCGUGGCGAAGGCGGGUUCCUGGACAUUAACUGACGCUGAGGCACGAAGGCCAGGGGAGCGAAAGGGAUUAGAUACCCCUGUAGUC
rnacentral:rRNA from 1 species